AUUGAACGCUGGCGGCAGGCCUAACACAUGCAAGUCGAACGAGUGGCGGACGGGUGAGUAAUGUCUGGGAAACUGCCUGAUGGAGGGGGAUAACUACUGGAAACGGUAGCUAAUACCGCAUACUCUCGGAUGUGCCCAGAUGGUAUUCGCUAGUAGGUGGGGUAAAGGCGCACCUAGGCGACGAUCCCUAGCUGGUCUGAGAGGAUGACCAGCGACACUGGAACUGAGACACGGGCCAGACUCCUACGGGAGGCAGCAGUGGGGAAGAUUGCACAAUGGGCGCAAGCCUGAUGCAGCCAUGCCGAGUGUAUGAAGAAGGCCGUCGGGUUGUAAAGUACUUUCAGCGGGGAGGCGUUACCCGCAGAAGAAGCACCGGCUAACUCCGUGCCAGCAGCCGCGGUAAUAC
rnacentral:rRNA from 1 species